rnacentral:rRNA from 1 species
UACGAAGGGGGCUAGCGUUGCUCGGAAUCACUGGGCGUAAAGGGCGCGUAGGCGGCCAUUUAAGUCGGGGGUGAAAGCCUGUGGCUCAACCACAGAAUUGCCUUCGAUACUGGAUGACUUGAGACCGGAAGAGGUAAGUGGAACUGCGAGUGUAGAGGUGAAAUUCGUAGAUAUCCGGAGGAACACCGGUGGCGAAGGCGGCUUCCUGGACCGAUACUGACGCUGAGGCGCGAAAGCCAGGGGAGCAAACGGG